AUAAUAUUAGUAUAAAAAUUACACAAUCCUUUCUAAAUUGUAAUCCUAUCAAGGAUAUUAUU
rnacentral:tRNA from 1 species